rnacentral:rRNA from 1 species
UACGUAGGGUGCGAGCGUUGCCCGGAUUUAUUGGGCGUAAAGGGCGCGUAGGCGGCUUGGCACGUCCGUUGUGAAAUCGCCCGGCUCAACUGGGCGGGGUCAGCGGAUACGGCCGAGCUUGAGCAAGCUAGGGGGCAAUGGAAUUCCCGGUGUAGCGGUGAAAUGCGCAGAUAUCGGGAGGAACACCGGUGGCGAAGGCGGUUCUCUGGGCCUGACCUGACGCUGAGGAGCGAAAGCGUGGGGAGCGAACAGG